CACCUGAGGAUUUGUGAAAAUGCAGAUUCUAAUUCAGAAGAUGUGUGAUUCUGCAUUUCUAACAAGCUCCCACGUGGUG
rnacentral:miRNA from 1 species